GGGUUGUGAGGUUAAGCGACUAAGCGUACACGGUGGAUGCCCUGGCAGUCAGAGGCGAUGAAGGACGUGCUAAUCUGCGAAAAGCGCCGGCGAGGUGAUAUGAACCUUUGACCCGGCGAUGUCCGAAUGGGGAAACCCAGUGCAAUUCGUUGCACUAUCGUUAACUGAAUACAUAGGUUAACGAGGCGAACCGGGGGAACUGAAACAUCUAAGUACCCCGAGGAAAAGAAAUCAACCGAGAUUCCCCCAGUAGCGGCGAGCGAACGGGGAGCAGCCCGGAGUCUGAAUCAGCUUGUGUGUUAGUGGAACGGUCUGGAAAGUCCGACGGUACAGGGUGAUAGUCCCGUACACGAAAGCACACUUGCUGUGAACUCGAAGAGUAGGGCGGGACACGUGGUAUCCUGUCUGAAUAUGGGGGGACCAUCCUCCAAGGCUAAAUACUCCUGACUGACCGAUAGUGAACCAGUACCGUGAGGGAAAGGCGAAAAGAACCCCGGCGAGGGGAGUGAAAAAGAACCUGAAACCGUGUACGUACAAGCAGUGGGAGCCUCUUUAUGGGGUGACUGCGUACCUUUUGUAUAAUGGGUCAGCGACUUAUAUUCUGUAGCAAGGUUAACCGUAUAGGGGAGCCGAAGGGAAACCGAGUCUUAACUGGGCGUUAAGUUGCAGGGUAUAGACCCGAAACCCGGUGAUCUAGCCAUGGGCAGGUUGAAGGUUGGGUAACACUAACUGGAGGACCGAACCGACUAAUGUUGAAAAAUUAGCGGAUGACCUGUGGCUGGGGGUGAAAGGCCAAUCAAACCGGGAGAUAGCUGGUUCUCCCCGAAAGCUAUUUAGGUAGCGCCUCGUGAACUCAUCUUCGGGGGUAGAGCACUGUUUCGGCUAGGGGGCCAUCCCGGCUUACCAACCCGAUGCAAACUACGAAUACCGAAGAAUGUUAUCACGGGAGACACACGGCGGGUGCUAACGUCCGUCGUGAAGAGGGAAACAACCCAGACCGCCAGCUAAGGUCCCAAAGUCAUGGUUAAGUGGGAAACGAUGUGGGAAGGCACAGACAGCCAGGAUGUUGGCUUAGAAGCAGCCAUCAUUUAAAGAAAGCGUAAUAGCUCACUGGUCGAGUCGGCCUGCGCGGAAGAUGUAACGGGGCUAAACCAUGCACCGAAGCUGCGGCAGCGACGCUUAGGCGUUGUUGGGUAGGGGAGCGUUCUGUAAGCCGUUGAAGGUGUCCUGUGAGGGGUGCUGGAGGUAUCAGAAGUGCGAAUGCUGACAUAAGUAACGAUAAAGCGGGUGAAAAGCCCGCUCGCCGGAAGACCAAGGGUUCCUGUCCAACGUUAAUCGGGGCAGGGUGAGUCGACCCCUAAGGCGAGGCCGAAAGGCGUAGUCGAUGGGAAACAGGUUAAUAUUCCUGUACUUGGUGUUACUGCGAAGGGGGGACGGAGAAGGCUAUGUCAGCCGGGCGACGGUUGUCCCGGUUUAAGCAUGUAGGCGGAGGUUCCAGGUAAAUCCGGUACCUUGUUAACGCUGAGGUGUGAUGACGAGGCACUACGGUGCUGAAGUGAUAAAUGCCCUGCUUCCAGGAAAAGCCUCUAAGCAUCAGGUAACACGAAAUCGUACCCCAAACCGACACAGGUGGUCAGGUAGAGAAUACCAAGGCGCUUGAGAGAACUCGGGUGAAGGAACUAGGCAAAAUGGUGCCGUAACUUCGGGAGAAGGCACGCUGAUGUGUAGGUGAAGCCCCUGCGGGCGGAGCUGAAAUCAGUCGAAGAUACCAGCUGGCUGCAACUGUUUAUUAAAAACACAGCACUGUGCAAACACGAAAGUGGACGUAUACGGUGUGACGCCUGCCCGGUGCCGGAAGGUUAAUUGAUGGGGUUAGCGGCAACGCGAAGCUCUUGAUCGAAGCCCCGGUAAACGGCGGCCGUAACUAUAACGGUCCUAAGGUAGCGAAAUUCCUUGUCGGGUAAGUUCCGACCUGCACGAAUGGCGUAAUGAUGGCCAGGCUGUCUCCACCCGAGACUCAGUGAAAUUGAACUCGCUGUGAAGAUGCAGUGUACCCGCGGCAAGACGGAAAGACCCCGUGAACCUUUACUAUAGCUUGACACUGAACACUGGUCCUUGAUGUGUAGGAUAGGUGGGAGGCUUUGAAGCGUGGACGCCAGUCUGCGUGGAGCCAACCUUGAAAUACCACCCUUUAAUGGCUGGUGUUCUAACGUAGACCCGUAAUCCGGGUUGCGGACAGUGUCUGGUGGGUAGUUUGACUGGGGCGGUCUCCUCCCAAAGAGUAACGGAGGAGCACGAAGGUUGGCUAAUCCUGGUCGGACAUCAGGAGGUUAGUGCAAUGGCAUAAGCCAGCUUGACUGCGAGCGUGACGGCGCGAGCAGGUGCGAAAGCAGGUCAUAGUGAUCCGGUGGUUCUGAAUGGAAGGGCCAUCGCUCAACGGAUAAAAGGUACUCCGGGGAUAACAGGCUGAUACCGCCCAAGAGUUCAUAUCGACGGCGGUGUUUGGCACCUCGAUGUCGGCUCAUCACAUCCUGGGGCUGAAGUAGGUCCCAAGGGUAUGGCUGUUCGCCAUUUAAAGUGGUACGCGAGCUGGGUUUAGAACGUCGUGAGACAGUUCGGUCCCUAUCUGCCGUGGGCGCUGGAGAAUUGAGGGGGGCUGCUCCUAGUACGAGAGGACCGGAGUGGACGCAUCACUGGUGUUCGGGUUGUCAUGCCAAUGGCACUGCCCGGUAGCUAAAUGCGGAAGAGAUAAGUGCUGAAAGCAUCUAAGCACGAAACUUGCCCCGAGAUGAGUUCUCCCUGAGACUUUAAGUCUCCUGAAGGAACGUUGAAGACGACGACGUUGAUAGGUCGGGUGUGUAAGCGCAGCGAUGCGUUGAGCUAACCGAUACUAAUGAACCGUGAGGCUUAACCUUACAACGCCGAAGCUGUU
rnacentral:rRNA from 1 species